GGGAGAUCUCGGCAGCUGCCAGCACCGGUCGCCCGGCUAAAUAGUGACUUUACAAAUGCAUCCCUGCCAGGAGCAUCACACAGUGGGGCUGUGUGACGAGGAGUUUGGAUGCGAGUGAAGGUGGGACCUCAGUUCCCCACGUCCACACCGCCACCCCGAGUCCCGAUGGAGACCCCGAGUCCCGAUGGAGACCCCGGGAGAUGCGCCCUCGGGGCUCCUCUGCCCAUGGGGUCACUGCAGAGCGUGUGCCUGGAGCUGAGUCUGCGCUCGUGUCCACCUGUGGUUUCUGGCGGUUUGGUGGCGCUGGGGCACCUCUGGGUGAUGCUAGACUAUGAAUUGCCCAAGGCCAUGAGCAGCUGCUGAGCAUCAUCUUGUGAUCACUCCACCAAAAGCCAGAUUGAAGAUCUCACAUCUUUCCUCGCUGCAUCUUGCACGGGCCGGAGUAGAGCAAAUUACCUUGGCGAAAUAUGUCCUUCCCAACCGUUAACACUUUGGGAAAGAGAGUAAAGCGACAGAUCGGAGCAGAAUAUUUUGAAGAUCGUCCAGAAAUAGUGUGCUACUGGCUAACCUGUUAUGUAGAUCCAGGAGUGUCCGGGUGUUGGCACCGUCUUCCUUCAAUAGCAAAUGAUUUCGGGUGAGGACUCCCCCUGAUGAAGGCCCCGGAGCUGCCCUGGGACAGUGAUGCCAGGAGAGGAGAGCAAGGCGGUGGGAGGGCUGGCAUUGGAAGAAUCGGGGCUUGUCUAUGGGAAUGGGGGGGAUGCGUCAAUCCUACUGCUGGUUACUUUGAAAAUAAAGUGGCAC
rnacentral:lncRNA from 1 species